CUACGGGCGGCAGCAGUAGGGAAUAUUGGGCAAUGGACGAGAGUCUGACCCAGCCAUGCCGCGUGCCGGAUGAAGGCCUUCUGGGUUGUAAACGGCUUUUCUCAGGGAAGAAAAAGGGCAUGCGUGCUCAACUGACGGUACCUGAGGAAUAAGCACCGGCUAACUCCGUGCCAGCAGCCGCGGUAAUACGGAGGGUGCAAGCGUUGUCCGGAUUUAUUGGGUUUAAAGGGUGCGUAGGCGGCCCGUUAAGUCCGGGGUGAAAGCCCACAGCUCAACUGUGGAACUGCCCUGGAUACUGGCGGGCUUGAGUCCAGACGAGGUUGGCGGAAUGGAUGCUGUAGCGGUGAUAUGCAUAGAUAGCAUCCAGAACCCCGAUUGCGUAGGCAGCUGACUAGGCUGGAACUGACGCUGAGGCACGAAAGCGUGGGGAGCGAACAGGAUUAGAUACCCGGGUAGUC
rnacentral:rRNA from 1 species